CAAAGCCCUUAAAUCCUUUUCAUCCCCAGCCGUCACACACCUCACCCGCUUCCCCCUUUGCUUCGUCAAUCAAUAUAAUUUGUAGUUGUUCUUUUAAUUUUCUUUCCUCACCAGUUGUUGUUCACAAGUACUUUACUUUCUUCUUUAAGUUGCUAUAACAGUAGACAUUGAAGCAGUUGUCUUAGUUAUUUAUAUAUCAUCGAUUUGAGGUGAGCAAUGGUGAUUCCAUUUUAUCUUGAGAGUGAAGUCAUGUGAAGUCGAUGACAAGGCAAAUUUGUGGAAUUAUUGAAGCAACAAUGAUAAGUGAUCGAUUGAUCAAGCUACUAUACAAUUAGAGACAAUGAAAAAAGGAGAAGACUAUGCAGCUUUGUAUCUCAUGCAAGACACUCCAUUGUAAUUGUUAUCAUAGAAAAAUUAUGUAUUGCAAAUAUUUUGAAAUUUAACUAUGUAAUUAUGUGUAACUUGACCCAUUUGGAAUCUAUUUUUUUUUUAUUUUUUGCUACAUUAUAGAAAUUCUUGAGUUAAAUAUGCUUAUGGCGUAUUCUUCAA